GACGAACGCUGGCGGCGUGCUUAACACAUGCAAGUCGAACGGUGAAGCGCCUUCCUUUUUGGUGGGUGUGGAUGAGUGGCGAACGGGUGAGUAACACGUGAGUAACCUGCCCCCUUCUUCUGGAUAACCGCAUGAAAGUGUGGCUAAUACGGGAUAUUCUGGGUCUGUCGCAUGAUGGGUCUGGGAAAGAUAUUGUUUCGGUGGGGGAUGGGCUCGCGGCCUAUCAGCUUGUUGGUGGGGUGAUGGCCUACUAAGGCGGUGACGGGUAGCCGGCCUGAGAGGGUGGACGGUCACACUGGGACUGAGACACGGCCCAGACUCCUACGGGAGGCAGCAGUGGGGAAUAUUGCACAAUGGGCGCAAGCCUGAUGCAGCGACGCCGCGUGAGGGAUGGAGGCCUUCGGGUUGUGAACCUCUUUCGCCAGUGAAGCAGGCCUGCCUCGUUUGUGGGUGGGUUGACGGUAGCUGGAUAAGAAGCGCCGGCUAACUACGUG
rnacentral:rRNA from 1 species